AAACCCCCUCUUGUUCGUUUCCAGGGACUUCACCUUGAUGGCCGAAAAGCAACUGGAAAUCCUCCGCGGGUACGAGCUGCGGCUCUUGCGCUGCACCCUCGCUCCCCCACCGUCCGAUCUUCGCAUUCAAUCGCAACCGUUGAACGAAGAAAGCCAAUGCUCUCUCCUUCCACUCCACGAGCACAUCAACAGCCUCAUCGACUCCAUCGAGUCCGGCCACUAUCUCCAGGCUCUGUCCUCCGACGCGGCUAAACUCGUCCUGGACACGCUCGACUUCGUCGACCUCAACGACUCAGCCGAGUGUGCCGACCGCGUCUACUCCGCACUUCUCCAGCGUGUCGAAACGUUUAUUGUGAACGAUUCCGAAAAUGACGUGGAUAAGGCUUGUCGAGUUAUUCUGCUCAUGUGUCUUUCAAUUGCUGCUCUUUUUUGGUUCACUCAGUGUAACGUGACUGGGUGAGUUGCUUAUUUAUAAAUUUUUAAAUAAUUGCAAUUAAUAUAAUAAAUAUUAAUAAAAAAAAAAAGGUUUAGUGAUGAACUUUUGAACAUGAAUUAGUAGGCCUUCAGUUCUUAAUUUGCCAAAGUGUCGGUUUCCACUAGAAGUUUCAACUUUAGAAGGCAACGAAUUGAUAGAGUGGGAGAAUUGGGCGCGUUAUCAGCUCAUGUCUGUUGGCUCUGACUUGCUGGGAAAGUUCUCCUAUCUUCAGGUACUCAGUCUAUCCAAAAAUGAAUAGAUUCUAUUGCUUAGACAGUGUUAAUAUUAAUAUUAGCUUUUUUAACUUAUUUUACAUUUUGUGAUCUUUUUGUAGUAUAUAGUUUUUGCCAAAAUGUUGCUCAUCAAGACAAAAGAUUUGCUGUUUGAUGCAACUGUGUUGCCUGUGAAUGGGAUUAGAACCAUUUCAUGGUGGCUCACAAGACUCCUACUUAUGCAUCAAAGGAUUUUAGAUGAGCGGUCGUCUUCUUUGUAUGAUCUAUUGAAAGUUUUUAUGGCUGAGACUUUACAACAUUUUGGCACUUUGGAAAACGUAACUACUUAUUGGGGCAACCAGUUGCAUGAUAUCGAUCCUUCAGAGAUUGUUUCAACAGUUCAUUUGGAAGCAGGACUGUUAGAACACAUUUACAGGAGAGUUGAUUCUUGCAGGUGAGUUAUCCUGGGAAAGUUUUAUAUUCGGUGGUCUUAUUUCUGGCUACAUUAGAAAAGUUUUCUCUUGGAAACAUGUUAUUUCCAACAUGGAACUUGCCUGUAGAACUCUCUCAGUCAUUGCAGAUGAUUUUGUGCAUUGUGUGUGAGGGAGGUGCAAGAAUGAAGUUUUAUGUUUGGACUUCAUCAAAAUCUCCCAUUUUUUAAUGUAUAUUGUUUCAAUCAUCGAACAUUAGUUUGAGUUGUUAGCACUGGAAUUUGCAUUAACUGAUUACUAACUUCCAUCAUUACCAUUACUAUAGGACUUCUUCUAUAGUUUCUGCUGAUUUCUAAAAUGCUUUACGGUAUCAGGAAACGUUUUGAAUCAGCUGAAGUGGCAGCUGGUCUCCAGCUUUCGGUUACUGCGGUUCUUGGUUUCCGUACCAUCCACCAGGUAAAGAUCGAAUGUGCAUCAUUUAUAAAGUUGUCGGGAUCUACCUUCUUAGCUUUGAGAUUGCUCCUGCAUAUAGGUAGAGCCAAAGGCACAAAUGGUACUUGUUGCAAACACAAGCUCAUCCAACACUUCUGAUGCCUGCCCUUCAAUAAGCCAAGUCAUUCAUACACAUGAUUCUACUAUUGGUGAUGCCACUGAUGUUUUUGUGACCCCAAAAUUAUUGGGGAAUAGUCAUGAAUCUGAAACUGGAGUCCAAUGCGUUCAUGCUGGUGGCUCAGCAGCCCAUUUAAAGGCAAUCCAACAGGCAGUGAUCUUGUCGAAGUGCCUUCUAAUAGAAAAGAGCUCACGGCAAGAUGAAAUGCAAAGUAAGUUGUUUUAUGGUUGGGCAGUGCGUAGUCGUCUUGUUAAAUGCCAUAAGACGUUAAGCAUAUUGCUAUUUAAUUUUUAAAUCAUUCUCAGUAAUAAUUCCUUUAGUAGAUUGAUGAUAAGAGAUUGCAUUACAGAUGAUAACUGAGCACAAUUUUUGUAGUUGUAUCCCUGUACAUCCAUCUUAAUAUCCUCAUUAUAUUCACAUGCCUUUUACGGGUGUUAUUUCUGGAUGCUGAAUGCUUUGUUCCACUUCUGGAUACCAAAUGCUUUGUUCCACAAAGCUGAGCUGGUUGCAAAGCUAGCUGAUGAGGUCAACAUGUCCCUUAACUAAUUUGAGGAUGAACACUGUGUUCCUGAAAGUCUUACUCUAAUGAUACUUAAAGAAGCAAUGAGAAUGGAUGUUGCAGCAGCUUUGCCUGAACUCAACCCCAGUUCCAAACAUGGAACAUGUGAAAACCAAAAAUGCUUUGUUUUUUUCUCUUUAUGACUUCUCUAGUUGGGGAAUGUAUUAGAUAUUCACCUAAUCAGUAGGCCUUGAAGGGAUCCCAUGUUAGCCCCUUGAUGUUGGUCUGUAACUAAGUAAAUACUUGACCUUGAAAAAGCUUUUGGAUCUGUUGAUUUGGUCAUUUGCUGAUUUAUAGCUUGUUUUCUGAUUCAGGAUGGGAUAUGGCUCCAUACAUAGAGGCAAUUGAUUCACAGCAGUCGUCAUGCUUCAUUGUAAGUAUAUAUACAAUACAGUGUCAGUUUUUCUUGAUGUUAAAUUUCAUAUCUUGAAGUGGUACUUCUGAUUCUCACAUGAUUUUUCCAUCUUUCAGCUAAAGGUUUUCUGUGAUCUCUUACGUGUUAGAUGGGAGUCCACCCGUAGUCGCACAAAAGGGCGUGCUUUAGAGAUGUUGGACAAACUGGUAUGAUCUGUGAGCCUUUUCUUCUUAAAUAUUUUGUUGCCUAAACAUUUACAUUCAAAUCGACAAGAGUUGCUUAUCCAUCUAUAGAAGAUUCCAAACUUUCUGCAGCUAGUACUUUAUUGGACCCAAAAGCUUUUUUGCUUUUUCUAAGCUGCUAAUCAAGACUAGAUUUCUCUCCCUUAUAUCGCUAGAUAUCCCAUUAAUUGUUAGAUUUAAUUGUCUAGAGACAUUAUGUACUGUGAAAAUUCAGAUUUCCUCUGUUUUAAUCUCUAUUUUCUCUUAUUAUACAAUAGAGAAGAAUACCUAUUUAUAUACAUUACACCCUAAGAACAAAAUGGUAAAAACAGUUAGGAUAUUGCAAAUCAGUAUCCCUGAAAAUUAGGGAUUGUAUCUCCUAAAAUCUAGUAUUUAAGUCAACACAUAACUGUAAAAUACAGCUGACAUCUACAACAAUAGUCAACACACAGUUGUAAAAUACAACUGACAUCUGCAACACUCCCCCUCAAGCUGGAGCAUAGAUGUUCUUCAUGCCGAGCUUGCAUACAAACUCUUCAAACUUGUGUCCAAGUAUUCCUUUUGUCAACAUAUCUGCAGUUUGUUGUCUUGUUGGAAUAUACACCAAACAGAUAACUCUAGUUUCCAAUUUCUCUUUAAUAAAAUGUCGGUCUACCUCCACAUGUUUUGUCCUGUCAUGAUGGACAAGAUUAUGAGCAAUAUUAAUUGCUACCUUAUUGUCACAGUAAAGUUGCAUAGGACUGUUUUUGAUUAACUGCAGUUCUUUGAGAACACGUUCUAUCCACAUAAGCUCACAUACCGCAUGUGCUAGUACUCGAAACUCUGCUUCUGUACUGCUUCGUGCCACUACAGUUUGCUUCUCCACGUUACAAGGUUUCCCCACACCUUAGUACAAUAACUUGUUGUAGACUUCCUAUCCAUGACGUUUCCAGCCCAAUCCGCAUCAACAAAAGCUUCUACAUUCUUUUUUUCUCCCUUUUCAAAAUAAAGUCCCUUUCUCGGUGUUGACUUUAGGUAUUGAGCUUUUCUUGGAGAGUGCAUAAAUUGGCUCACUAAGCUAACAACAAAAGUAAUAUUAGGUCUAGUAUGGGAAAGAUAAAUUAAUCUCCUUAUUAGUCUUUGAUAUCUCCCCCUCUCCACGGGUGCACUAUUUUCUUCAAGACCCAACUUGCUAUUUGGUUCAGUUGGUGUGGCAGCAGGUUUACAGUCAAUCAUACCAGUGUCCUUUAGCAAAUCUAGGGUGUAUUUCCGCUGUGUAACUAGAAUACCUUUAGCUGUUCUAGCUACCUCCAUUCCUAAAAAAUAACGUAAUGGUCCAAGAUCCUUGAUUUCAAACUCACAAGCUAAUUUUGCCUUUAAUCCUUCCAGCUCUUCUUUGUCAUCUCUUGUUAGUAUAAUGUCGUCAACAUAUACACGAUCAAAAUAGCUAACUUCCCUUCUUUAGAGCGUUUGUAGAACAUAGUGUGAUCAACUUGCCCUUGAGAAUAACCAUAGUUCUUCAAGACUUUUCCAAAUCGGUCGAACCAGGCCCUAGGGGACUGUUUAAGGCCAUAUAGAGACAUUUUUAACCGACAAACUCUUCUAGCAGGUCCUUUUUCUUCAAAACCAGGCGGCAUAUCCAUGUAAACUUCCUCUUCCAAUUCUCCAUUCAAGAAGGCACUCUUGAUAUCGAGCUGGUUGAGAGGCCAAUCUAAAUUUGCAGCAAGAGAGAGAAAGAUCCUUACAGUAUUAAGUUUUGCCACUGGGGCAAAAGUCUCUAGGUAGUCCACCCCAUAGGUUUGUGUGAAACCCUUCGCCACGAGUCUUGCUUUGUACCGGUCUACACUUCCAUCAGCCUUAUAUUUGACUGUAAAUACCCACUUGCACCCCACAGUCCUCUUGUCUUUACGUCUUGGUACAAGCUUCCAUGUGUUAUUCUUUAUUAAGGCUGCCAUUUCUUCUUGAACAGCUUUCUUCCACUCAUUUGACUCUAAGGCUUUAUGGAUGUUUCUUGGAAUAGUGCUAUGAGAUAGAUUAGCCACAAAAUUUCUAUACUCUUUAGAUAGAUUUGCAUAUGACAAGAACUUGUAGAUAGAAUGUUUGGUGCAAUUUCUUACCCCUUUCCUUAUCGCAAUAGGCAAAUUUGUGGACUUCUGAGCUUCGUUCUCAGCAUAUUCAGUAGGUGGGUUUUGAUCCUCCCUGAGUUCAGAUCUUGGUUCUGCUUGGUCUAUAAGUGGCUGUACCUCUUGAGUUUUAUUCUUCCUUCGUGAAUAAACAUGAAACUCGCCUAUAGGUUCCUCCAAAUGUGAAUUGGCUUUUAUCCCUUCAUUCCUUGGUGACACUAUUGGUUGAUUAAGUUCUAUGGUGUUAGGUAGGUUAGGAUGAAUGUCUGGACUGAGGGAGGAGGUAUUUGGUAGAUUGAGUUGUAGGCUGGAACUGCUGGACAUAUUGGGUUCUAGGCUGGAAUUACUAGGCAUCUUAGGUUCUAAAAUGUCAAGAAGAUCCCAAGAAUUAUCUUCUCUCAAAUUCUGCCCCUGAAGAGAAUUACUCGGGUAAAAAGGCCGAUUUUCAAAGAACUUAACAUCCAUGCUGACAAAUAAUUUUUUUGUAAGAGGAUAAUAGCACUUGUACCCUUUCUUGGUAGGAGAAUAUCCUAGAAAUAGGCACUUGAUGGCUCUAGGAGACAGCUUUGUUCUUUGAAGACUUGGAAGAUAGACAAAGGCUGUACAACCAAAAGUUUUGAGUGCAAGAUUAGAGGUAACAAGGUGAUUUUGUGGGUAGCUGUCAAGAAAAACAUAAAUAGGUGUCUUGAAUUUAAGAACUUGAGAGGGCAUACGAUUUAUGAGAUAAGAUGCUGUAAGAAUGGCCUCUCCCCAAUAUAUUUUUGGUACAUUAGUUGUGAACAUAAUGGCCCUAGCAACCUCUGAAAGGUGUAUGUUUUUACGUUCCGCAACCCCAUUUUGUUGUGGUGUUCCGGAACAAGAACUUUGGUGGACAAUUCCUUGUUGUGAUAGGUAAUUCCCUAAAAUAGAAUUGAAAUACUCAGUUCCAUUAUCUGUACAGAAUACACGAAUGUCAGUUUAAAACUGAUUUUUUACCAUGGCAUGGAACUGUUUAAAAGUUUGUCCAGCUUCAGAUUUUUCCUUCAAAAGGUACACCCAAGUGGUCCUAGAGAGGUCAUCUAUGAAUGUAAUGAACCAUUUUGCUUUUGACAGGUUGUGAACCCUUGAGGGGCCCCAAAUAUCACUAUGAAUCAAAGAGAAAGGUUGGGAUGGUUUAUAAGUACGGGCAGGAAAUGGAACACGUGUUUGUUUACCCAUUUGACAAAAAUCACAAUAUAAUAAACUCAAAUCUUUAUUUUUAAAUAAGGAAGGAAACAAGGUUUUUAGAUAUGGAAAGCUAGGGUGGCCUAACCUAUAGUGCCACAACAUUAUUUCAGAAGAAACAAAUUCACAUUGAGAAACCUAAGCAUGUCCUUUCACGGGUCCUUUAUUCUCGAGAUAAUACAGCCCCUCAUAUUCCUUCGCAUUCCCAAUCAUCCUCCCCAAGAUUGGAUCUUGAAAUAGACAUUUAGAACCACAGAAUUUUGCUACACAGCUUGUGUCCUUGGUAAGUUUAUUAAUUGAAAGAAGAUUACAUUUAAGAUUUGGGACAUAUAAAACUGAAAAAAGAGUCAAACAAUCUGAUAGUUUUAUUGUUCCUUUUCUAGCAAUAGUGGAUAAUGAUCCAUCAGCAAUCCUCACUUUAUAAUUACCUGGACAUGGAGUGUAACUAGAGAAAAAUUGAGAAGACCCUGUCAUAUGGUCUGAGGCCCUUGAAUCAACAAUCUAAGGACCUUUUUCAAGGGAUUGGAUGUUAAGGGCUGAUGGGUUACCUGUAUGGACUGCAUUACAACCAGAGGAGGUCAAGUCAUUUCUUUUUGCUUGCUGAUUUUGUAUGAGAAGCUGUUGCAGCAUCUCAAAUUGAUCUUUUGUGAGGGCAAACUGAUUAGUUUUCUCUGUCACCAUUCCUUUUGCUUCCUGCUGACGUUUUGGUUUCCAAUCUGCUGGCUUUCCAUGAAGCCUCCAGCAUGAGUCUCGAGUAUGUCCUUUCCUGUGGCAAUAGUCACAGUAAGGACGUUCUCCAUGUUUUUGUCCCUUUUGGUCAGCUGACUAGUCUGUCUUUUUGGUCACCAGCGCUGAUCUCUCUGUCUCGGCUUCCUUUACCAGUCCCAUCAUGACUCUUUUUUGACUUUCUUCACGCCUUACCUCAGCAAAAGCUUCUUGGAUGGAGGGUAGAGGAUUCUUUCCCAAUAUUCUGCCACGAACUUCAUCAAGUUCUUUGUUGAGUCCAUAAAGGAAAUCAAAGAGGCGUUCUUUAUUCAACAUCCUCUUAUAUUUAAUGGCAUCCUCGGAGCAAUGCCACUGCGAUUCAUAGUAAAAGUCGAGUUCUUGGCAUAUAUUGUUUAGAGAACUGAAAUAUUGAGUCACUGAAAGACUCCCUUGUUUCUGGUCACGUAAUUGUGACUUGAUUUCAAAGAGCUGAGCUGCAUUCCCAAGGUCAGAGACUCAGAGUAGGUUUCUGUCACAGCUUCCCAAAGCUCCUUCGCAGAUGGUAGGAAGAGAUAAGUCCUACCAAUAUCCACGUCCAUCGAGUUGAUCAACCAAGCUUGCACCAUUGAAUUUUCAGCAUCCCACUGCGGAUAACUAGGAUCUAAGACAUCAGGGGCUUUGGUUUCCCCUGUAAUAUACCCUAAUCGGCCUUUGCCACAAAAAAAUAGGGUGACGGAUUGAGACCAUUGCAAAAGGUUUCUGCCAUUUAACUUGUGCAGAGUUAUUUGCAAAUAGGGGUUUUUGGUACCUAAGGAGACUGAAGAGAUGUCCUGCCUUGUUACAGAACCGGAGGAAAUCUCAGAUUCUUGUGCAGGGUUUGUUGUCUUCUCCAUUGGAUGGUUUGAGACUUUAGAAUUGGAAGAGGAGAAAAUUUCAGAGGCUCAGCUCAAAAGCUGCUCUAAUACCAUGUGAAAAUUCAGAUUUCCUCUGUUUUAAUCUCUAUUUUCUCUUAUUAUACAAUAGAGAAGAAUACCUAUUUAUAUACAUUACACCCUAGGAACAAAAUGGUAAAAACAGCUAGGAUAUUGCAAAUCAGUAUCCCUGAAAAUUAGGGAUUAUAUCUUCUAAAAUCUAGUAUUUAAGUCAACACGUAGCUGUAAAAUACAGCUGACAUCUACAACAAUAGUCAACACACAGCUGUAAAAUACAGCUGACAUCUGCAACAUGUACUUGCAUCUCUGCUUUUCACUUCACAACUGAUUUCAUGUGCUAUCUUGUGUUCUGGUUCAAGAUUUUUGAUGGUUGCUUAACAUCAUAUUUUGCUUUGUUUCAGGUUGAGGGCAUUUCUAAUUCUUCUCCCGGUGUGACUCAAAGGAUUCCCUUUUGUUAUGUGAUUUACGUUCCAACUAUUCCUGCCCUGCGAAAGUAAAACUAUUUCUUCUGCAUCUUUGAAUGAUUGUGAUUUAGUUUUCUUGUCAUUUUGCCAACUAUCAUUAUGCUGUCAUUGUUUCAUAUCUUAGUUGAUAUAUGUUGACUUGGUUAGAGUUUAAUUGCUCUGUUUAUUCUCUUCAUAAUCUGUCUAUUUCGAUUUUUCUUGAUUUUAGGGAAUUUGCUGAACUUUUAGUAAGCUGUGGCUUGAUUGGAGAGGCUAUUAAAAUUUUUGAGGAUCUGGAGUUGUGGGAUAAUCUAAUAUACUGCAACUGGUAUGGUGUCAUAGAUAACCAUUAUCCUAAUCUCUCUCUCUCUCUCUCAUGUUGCUAAUGGGAGUUGGUUUUGUGUAUGAUGUAAAAAACAGCCUAUUGGGGAAGAAAGCAGCAGCUGUUGAACUAAUAAAAGCAAGGCUGUCUGAAAAGCCUAAUGACCCUAGAUUAUGGUUUGUUGAUGAGCCUUUUCUACGAUCCAUUUUAUAGUUACUUCUCAUUUCAGUUAAAUCCAUUGUUGAUGUCACUUAUUGCAAUGUAGGGAUAAUUGUUCAUUGGAUGUGAGGAUAUUGUCAAAAGAAAAUGAAACAUUUUAAUUUUAUCUUUUACUUGCUGUAGCCGAUUUAAAAGCUCACAGUGCGUUCUUACUGAUUGCUUUUGGUCUUGCAUUUGAGUCAAUGGAUUUUAUACUCAUAUUCUGACAUUUAUUGUUAGUCUUCUGACGGUUCUGCACCUUGGUCCUAUAUUAUCUUCAGCAGUAUUAUCUAAAAGAUAAGUUUUUGCCGAAGAAAAUUUGCAUUCUAAACUAGAAAAUGAGGGGCCUGGGGGGGGGGGGGGGCGGGGGCGCAACAGGAGACUGUUUUCCACUUAUCCUCUUCCCUGCCUGCAUUUUAGAUGAUUCUGAUGCACCAGGUGCUGUGAAAUGGUUGAGAAAUACAUACCAUCAAGUGAAUUCUGAAAAUCAUAUCCUUCUUGAAAAUAUUUGGUGCUAGACAUUUGAAUAUAUGGCCACAAUUUAAACAAUAAAGAUUUUCUGCAUUGAUUUCUUAUAAUGGAUAUAUGCAUGUAAGUAAAAUAUGAUAUCUUUUGAUUAUUGGCCCAUUUGUUCAGAAAGAAGGAAAAAAAAAAAUACAUGGUGAUAAUGUAGCCAGAAUGAUGAGUUGAAUUGUGGGUUGCUGACUUGUGAUACAUUUUGUAGGUGUUCAUUAGGUGAUGUUACAAAUAAUGAUGCCUGUUAUGAAAAAGCUUUGGAAGUUUCGAAUGAUAAGUCAGCUCGAGCUAAGGUGAUAUUUGUUGCACAGAGAAAAUGUAGUUCACAUUAUGCUUGUACCGUGAUCAUUUUUUAGUUAACAUAUCUUUAUGUGAAUCAGAGGUCUCUAGCUCGUAGUGCUUACAAUAGAGGGGAGUACGAGACGUCUAAAAUCCUUUGGUAUGUUGCUUUAAUGCUUUACUUCUCUUUCUGCCACACAGUAAUUUGCUGCAUUGACAACUGAGAUGGCUGAAUGACAAUUUACCCUUGGUUUUGUCUCAGGGAGGCUGCCAUGGCCUUGAAUUCUUUGUAUCCAGAUGGCUGGUUUGCUCUUGGUGCUGCUGCAUUGAAGGUAUCAUAUUUUUGUAUUAGUAUGUGUUUAGUGUGGAGAGAUUUCUUAUCCUUUUGCCCCAAGUUUCUGAAACUCUCGGCUGAAAUAUAAAUACAGGCUCGGGAUGUUGAAAAGGCUCUGGAUGGGUUUACUCGGGCUGUUCAACUUGAUCCAGACAAUGGGGAAGCUUGGAACAAUAUUGCUUGCUUGUAUGCUCUUUUCUUUGUCAUCAUGUCAUUCCAUCCUCUUGCUCUGUAUUCUUUAAUAUGGUGUCAAUCACUUUCAUCUUCUAUCUGCAAGAGUAUGCUUCCCAUAUUUGGUUUACUUUGUUUUGACUUUCUUGUUGCAGUUGUUCUAUAUAAAUUUUAUAUGGUUCCAUAUUCCCUUGAUGAGUGAAUUUAGUUGCUGCAAAUGCUAAGAGCUAGAUAGUACUGUUAUAAUUAGGAAUAGGGCAAAUAUUAGCCAGCUCUUUUGAGGAUUAUCCAUAGCAUAUGCCUCCGUCGUUUUCAAAGCAAUUGAAGUUCUCCUUUUCGUCUUAUUUAAAAGAAAAAAGCACAAAUUGCUUCCCUCACAUCUCUCUACAGUCUCUUUUCUCUCUGUUUAAUUUUUUCUUGUGCUUAUUAUUUGUCUUUUAAUGCGUCUUUUCUUCUUAUUUUAUACUGUACUAGAGUUUGUGCAGUCUCAAUUUCAUCUUGUCUGUGACUUACUGUUUUUUUCGCAAUUGUGGAACUUUAUUUAGCAGCAUAAUUAUUAGUUAGUGAGACAUUAAUUGGUAAACACCACUUGUGAAAAGAUACGAAGAGCUACUUAUUCUCUCUACUAGUACAUUUAAAAAAUUCAUGAGAAAAUAUCUGGGAUGGUAAAAUUCUCGUCAAUUAUAACAAUGGAAGUCUUGAGAUUUAUGUAAUCUUGCAGGCAUAUGAUCAAGAAGAAGAGCAAAGAGGCUUUUAUAGCAUUCAAGGAGGCCCUAAAGUUCAAGUUCUGUUUUUUUCCCCCCUGAUCACAACAUUUUUAUUUUCUGUCAUGCACAAUGCAGUCGGACACUAUCUGAUCACUAGAACACUGUCAUACAUAAUUUGUUGCUGCUAGGCAAAAGGUGAUAUCUAAUGUAAUAACCUAUAACAUGAUUUUGUAACAGACGGAACAGUUGGCAAUUGUGGGAAAACUACAGCCAUGUUGCUUUGGAUGUGGGCAAUAUUGGUCAGGUAACCGCGGUUGUGCGCUUAAUUUCGAUCAUUUAUCACUGAAAUCUUUUGAGAUGAAGUUGGCAUUUUCUUAGCCACCCUCUGAUGGUUUUGAUUGCUUCAUGUAUGUUGUCAUCUUUGUCAACUAAUGAAAGCUGCAGAGAUUUUGUCAUCUUUUCAUUUAAAAGAAUUUGAUAGUUUAUAGCCCAUUGUCAUUUUUGCAUAUGUAUGUUAUUGUUCUUUUGACCUUUUUGUACCUCAGCUUCAUCCUUUUAUGCAAGCAAUUCGUUGUCAAGAAAUAUCUGGAUAACAAUUUUUUCCCAUGAAUAUUUUUACGCUCAUCAAGGUCCUUGAACAGUCAUGGUUAAUGGAUUACAGAUUCUCAAAUUUAUAAUUAUUUUUUUCAGGGUCAUUGUCCUUUGAUAUAUGCAACUUGAUGCAUGACUUUCUAAUGAUUAACUCCCUGCCCUCACCAUGGUCGUAUAAAUAUUUUGACAAGUGGGGAUUGUAUGAUUACUUUGUGCUAGGAAUUUUUUUGGUUGGAAAGAAAUGGGAGGAUUUUUCAAGAAGCUAGGGAGGGAAGACACCAAAUUAUUUUUGGUGGAUAAAGCCUGCUGUCACUUUGGGCAUCAAUUUCUAAUGAAUGCAAUAAUGUUCCUUUCUUUGCUAUUCAUUAAAAUUGAGUUGUUCUUCUUGGAUGGCCUUCUUUUUACUUCUCAUUAUUUUGCCAGCUUGUUGAUUGUCAUUUUUGCUUGUUGGCAGUCUUUUCCUGCAGUGUUAAUAAUAUUUAAUUAUAAUAUUAGACAUCAGUGUCCUCAACAUGAUCUCUCUCCCAAAUUUUUACUCUUUUAUUCAUUAUAGUUUUAGCAGUUUCUUUAUUUUUGUUUUAUUUUAUUUUUGCAGGCUCUAGAGGCUGUGCAGACGGUGUUGAACAUGACUAAUAAUAAAAGAAUUGAUACUGAAUUAUUAGAAAGAAUAGUGCUAGAUCUGGAAGGAAGGACUUCAAUUAUAGAAUCUGAGUCUUGCAGGACUACGCAUAAUCUUAACAGAACUAAUAACACUUGUGCAAAAGAUUUACCUGUAGAAUCUGUCCAUGUAUCAUCACCUGAGGAGUCAAUCAUGGGAAGAUCACGAGAAAAUGAGCACUUGAUGGAGUUUCUUGGGAAAAUUCUUCAGCAGGUUGCACAUGUUUCCGUGAUCAUCUUUUUUCCGUCUUUUAAUACUGAGCUAAGGGACAUUCUCUCUCUUUCACGCAUAUCCAAAACACAUGUACAUAUUUCUCAUAUUUCUAUGCGUAUAUAUUAUCAUUUCUGAUCUUUCUUAGUUUAUAUGAUAAUUGUCUUUGGGCAUAUGAUUCAUAUUUGCUGGGCAUCCUAUGGUCUGUGGGUCAAUAAUAAUCCAUAGUAUCUGAAUUUCUUGACAAAAUUGGUCAUUUUGGCAAAUCAUUUGGACGUAUCUAUGCAGCAGUUUACUAUUUUAGUGCUUGCAGGAAUUGGUAUGCUUAAAUUUUGGGCUUAAAUUGUGGGAAAAUAAUCAAAGUGAUAUGCAAAUUAAUUCAAGCCACACGAGGAAAGAAUAUCCUUUCUUUUUUUUUUUUUUUAAGCUUAUGUUACAUGUUUCUCUGUAUGGCAUAGGUAGUUCGAAGUGAGAGUAGUGCAGAUAUGUGGGGAUUAUAUGCAAGGUGGCUUAAAUGUAAAGGAGAUCUUACAAUGUGCUCUGAAGCCCUCUUAAAGCAAGUCAGAUCAUAUCAGGUUUUUCCAUAAAUCUCAUCAUCUUAUAAUAAGUUAGCAUUAUGUUUUACUUUGAUGUUGAUGGAAUUUGUUAAUGCUAAUCAAAUUUUGUUAAUCUCUCUCUCUCUCUCUCUCUUUUAAAAAGAAGGCAAAGAAAAAGCUGUGAUUUCAUUUUUGUUUUCUAAAUUUGUUAAAUAAAGGAAUGACAAGUUGACAACUCAGCCUCUCUCUCUCUCUCUCGCUCUCUCUCUGUGUCUGUGUCAGGGAUCUGAUUUGUGGAAAGAUAGAGAUCGGUUUAAAAGGUUUUCAUAUGCAUCCUUGGAACUUUGUAAGGUUUACACGGAAAUUUCUUCCUCUUCUGGUAGCCGUCGAGAACUCUUUGCUGCUGAGAUGCACCUGAAGAACGUACUUAAACAAGUAAAACACCUUAUAAUUUGAUAUUUAGGACACUUACAGUUGGUUUAAAGAUUGCAUUUUCCGUUUCUGUUUUUGACUGGUUCAGGGUAAAACUUUUUCCCACUGUGUUAGAGUGCAUUUCUGUUAUUAUAUAGUUUCUUAGAAGAGAAUGCGCUUUUUGGAAUCUCAGGCUGAAGGAUUUGCUGACAUGGAAGAGUUCAGGGAUCUUCAAGCUUGCCUUGAUGAAGUGAAGACGAAACUCCAAUCUGGUCCCGUGGCUACCUAAGUAUCAGGAACGUGCUAUUUUUGAAUAUCAGGAAUGUGCUAUUAUUUUAGUUCGUACUGUAGUUGAGACCUUAACCAUGACUGAAUAUCUUGUAUUGCUGUACCACCUUUUCUGUAACAAAACAGUCUAGUUUUAGUAUUUUUAUUAUUUUUGUAUUUUCAGUGCUGUAACUAAUCUCAUUUGACAAUGUAAAUAUAUGGCUUCAAGUUAUUUAAAUGUAAAAUCAAGUGUUGUUUUCAACCUCUGUUCUUUUAUGUAUAGCUUACAUGCCGUGAUUUCAUUAACCUCAAUUUAAGGACAAUUUCAUAUCUUUUUUCUUUCUGCUUUUCUUUUAUCAUUUAAGAACAAAUAUGAAUAUAUUUCAGACAGCAUUUAAACAAAGCAACCGAACGUCGCUGGUUUCUAUUAUUACAUUGACAGCAAUAAAACAAAGAAGCAACUGAAAGUUAUCUUCAUAUGAGAAUGAAAGCUUUUCAGCAGCAUAACACUAUUCAUUUCCAAACGAGUUCCUCAACAUGAGAACAAAUUCGUAGACCUUUUCUGGGUCUGGAAGGAUCCUGGCAACAGUUUCCCUUUGCAUGCACUUGUUCAUCCAAGCGGAGAAUUUGGGGCACUCAUUCGCAUCCUUAAAUCACCCAAAUUUCUCAACCGCGUAAAACCAACAAAUUUCUCAACCCCCAAAUUUGGGACAUCAACGAAUCCAAAGCUAUCCCCGCCAAAGAAAUCCUUCUCCCCUAAAGCUCCCUCUAGUUGCUUCAAUAUCUCUAUAAAUUCAUUCUUUGCCGUCUCCUGUGUUUUAAAAAAUCUAUUGUAAUGGAUCUAUUGUAAAUUUAUCUAACUGCUUGUUAUAAUGCUUCUAUUGCGGUGUUAUUCGAGUUGUCAUUUUCAGUUUUAUUUUAUUUGUUCUUUAAACAUAGUUAAUUUGAAAUGUUCUUUAAUAUCCAUUACACUUGAGAUCAUCAAAUAAGUGAUUCUUGAAUAUAAUUGCUGUUGUUACUCGAAUAAGAAAAGAAAACAAAAAAUAGCUAAGGUAAAAGUAAAUGGAAAUGAGAGCAACGUGAUUUUGCAAAGAGAACUUCACACUAUCAUAAAACCGAAAACAUUACAAUUUAAAGCUUUAAUAACAACACAUCAAAGUCAAAUAACGACCCACUAGAAUCAUGGUCCAAAGAUUGUGCCAUGAUCACAACAUGAACUACAAAAAAAUAACCAACACCAGAAAAGUAGGAACAGUUUGAAACUUUCAACUAAGCAGCAUUUAUGAUUCCACAUCAGCAGCCCUAAACACAUCUUCUAACAAUCGCAACUGCUCAUUUUUGCUUCUGCCAAUAAAGAGUUGAUUGUAACCAAAGAUUGUUGUCUUUAUUGUCAUUUGAGAGUAACAAAUUACUUACGCAGUCACGUAAGUUGUUGGUUGGCCUCGCACAUUUUUGAGAAGUUUGUUUCUGAAGGAAACCAGCUGAGCCGCAACCUCUUCCAUGCUCAUUCGUUCUCUCGGCAACUCUGAAGAGCAAAUGGCUCCGAUUCCCAGUACGGAAACCAAGCACUCUUUACCACUAAAACUUCUGGUCCAUUGUUUGUGAGCAUUGGCGUUGCUUUUCUCCCCUUCUUCUCUUUCUACAAGAAGCACUGGAUCAACAAUUUCAGCGAGUCUUUCAGGAAGAGCUUCCUUGACAAAAUUAUGUAGGGUUAGAUUGCCUGUAAACAUUUCAUUCGUCGGCCUCUUUCCUGUAAACAUUUCCAGCAAGAGUAUUCCAAAACUGUACACAUCUCCACUUGUUGAGACUUCGCUCCCCAUUCCGUACUCUGCAAUUCGAAAACUAAAAUUGUUGGUUCAACUAGUAAAAUCUCAAAGGAUUGAAAGACAAGUUAAUUAAAUAAUAGUAAUUACCUGGAGCAGCAUAACCAACGGUUCCUUUUACUCCAACAGAGCUUGAUUGAUUAGAUGACAAGUUAUUGGUGGCUUCCGGAAGGAAUUUUGCUAAUCCAAAAUCACCUACAUGGGCAGUCAAUUCACUAUCCAGAAGAACAUUGCUUGGCUUGAGAUCACAAUGGACUAUUGGAGUUUCGCAAUAAUGAUGAAGAUAAUCCAAUGCAGAAGCAACAUCAACGGCAAUACUCAGUCUUUGCAGGAGAUUUAGAUUCUUAAGUGCCUCACGGUUUGGAUGCAACCAUUCCUCCAGGCUUCCGUUAACCAUGAACUCAUAAACUAAAGCCUCGAAAUCAUUUCCUUGGAAGUCAACACUUGCACAGGAAGUUAUUAUUUUGACGAGAUUCCGAUGCCUAAUAUUUCUCAAGGCCUGACACUCCGCUAUGAAACUCUUUGAAGCUCCUCGAUGUUGAAGAUUAAGCACCUUAACUGCCACCAGCGUUUCAUGAUCAUCAUGAUUGAGGACUCCUUUAUAGACCGAACCAAAGCUACCGGCACCAAUCAAGUUUUCCAAAGAGAACCCGUCAGUUGCUUUGAACAGAUUCUCAUAGGACACUCGUAAAACCGAAGCCAAGAGAGCUGAUGGAGGAGUGGCCGGCUUCCUUUUUGAUUUGCCCCGCCAGGAAGUAAUUAUCAAACACGACAUCCCUGUUACUAACAAAAUUCCUGUAACAACAGGAAUAAUCAGUUUCAGGAAACGGGAACGUGAUUGCAUUGAUUCUUUGAUGGAACAAGUAGAUAAAUGCAACUCAGAUAUGCCACCACAGAGGUUAUCAUUUCCGUCAAGAGAUAUAGCACUCGAAUUGCUGAAGACUCCUUUUAUUGGUACUUCACCCUCAAAAUGAUUAAAAGACAGAUUUAAAUUCUGCAAAAAGGGAAAGUUUUCCAGAUAUUUUGGAAUUCGGCCAGACAAAUUGUUCCUCGAAAGAUCAAGAUUCUCAAUGCCUCUCAAAGAACUGAAUGAUGAAGGGAUAUUCCCUUGAAAGAAAUUACCAUUCAUGAUGAGUUGUACCAACAUAAUGCAACUUCCUAUACUGCUUGGAAUUUCACCAGACAAUUUGUUCUCCGAUAUGUCUAUAAAACCCAGAUUUUUCAAGAUACCAAAAUUAGAGGGCAAAGGACCAUUCAAAUGGUUUUGAGAUAGAUCAAGAUAGAUUGACAAGGAAGAGAGGCCAAUCACUUCAGUGGGUAUGGUACCACUGAGGUUGUUAUUGGAGAGAUCUAAUAAUAUCAAGUUUUGGCAUUUCCCUAGACUUGAUGGAAUGUUUCCCUCUAACAUGUUUUCCGCAAAAUCUAGUAUAGCUAACGAUGUCAAAUUUCCUAUAGAAGAUGGAAUUUCCCCCCAAAACUUGUUCCCCAGAAGCCACAACGUCUGCAGCUUAUGAAGAUCUCCUAUACUUCCCGGAAUUCGGCCUGUGAAUUGGUUGCCCCCAAGGUGUAAAAGCUCUAAGUUAACAAGAUUUCUUAAUCGAUUUGGGAAAUUUCCGAACAACUGAUUGUUUCCAACUAUUAAUAUUCUAAGUCGGGUUGACAAGUUCCCCACAGCUUCAGGUAACAUUCCACCAAAAUUGUUGUCACUAAUUUGCAGUAGCUCUAGUCUGGAAGCGUUGACCAAAGAAUUGACAAAUUCCAAGUCAUCCUUUUUCCCAUUUCCUAAGUGAUUCAGAUAAAAACUAACCCAUUGGAGUUUAUGUAAAUUUUCCAAACUAGGCACCUUUCCACUGAAUCCAUUCAUUGGGAUUGUAAGUCUCAUUAGAUUUGAGGCAUUGGAUAUUGAAGCAGGAAUAGGCCCAGUAAACUGAUUACCACCAACGUUUAAUCGUUCAAGAUUAGGCAGAGUGAAGCCUAAGUCUGAUGGAAGGCUUCCUUGAAGUUGGUUAUGAGGGAAAUCCAAAUAAUUAAGCGAAGACAAGUUGUAGAUUGAGAAAGGGAUUUCACCUGAUAGCUUAUUUACUCCCAAUAAUAUAUCACGCAUCCUCUUUAGCUGACCCAGUGUUUCAGGAAUUUGUCCCACAAAUUGAUUUGCAGCUGCUGAGAGGACCUCGAGUGAUGACAAAUUGCCCAAGGAAGAUGGGAUUUCUCCCGAAAAAUUGUUGUAGUGUACUGUGAGCAUCCGGAGCUUUGAUAUGGAGCCUAGUAACCCAGGAACUUUCCCCACAAGCUCAUUGACGCCUAACCUGAGGGAUUCAAGGUUAACGCAAUGCGAUAUGUUGUCAGGAAUUUGACCUCCGAAUGUAUUGUUGUUCAGCUCCAAAAUUCGUAACCUGAACAGAUAUCCAAUCUCUUGAGGGAUUUCGUUGCGGAAGCUAUUGUUUUUGAGAUCUAACACUCUGAGAAAACUCAAAUUACCAAUGUGAGGCGACAGAGACCCCUGCAAGAGUAAAGAUGGAAGACGUAAUCCAGUCACCCUUUGGUGCCGUCGACUGCAAGUGACACCUUUCCAUUGACAAAAGUGCCUGGAAUAGUUCCAUGAUCUCAAAACCUCAAGAGGGUCAUGAGUAACUUUGGCCUUGAAUUGAAGCAAUGCAAGUUGAUCAGUUUCAUUGCUUUUGAGCAUAUAAUCGGUUGAUUGCAAGCUGAAGCUGAAGCAACAUAAAAUAAAGAAACAAAUGCUUACAAUGAUUGAACUCAUCAUGUUUACAAAAUUCAUUUAACUGCCGAAGGAAAUUAAAAUGAUAAAACUUUUAUAGAGGUUUGUAAGAUAAAAUAUGUUUGUAUAUAUUUUGCAAUGAUUUAUGGACUCUGUCUUUGAUGCUCAAAUGUGAACCAGGUGGCACCGUGACAGUGAAACUAAUACUUUUUCUUUUUCUAAUAAUAUUAAUUAUCAUAUUUAUUACUAUUGUAAGAAUAAUAUACUGCAGCUUUAAAGAAAGACUCACCAUACUCUCUUUUGAGUUUAAUCACCAAUAUUGAAAAGGAAAAAAAAAGUAGGGCAAGAGAAAGGUAAAUACGAUGGGUGGAGUGUUAAGACUACUGUUAAAUGAGUUGGGAAACGUUCAAAGCACGAUGGGAAUUAAAGAUUCACAACACCUUUUUUCUAAAAUUUUCAAUACAGUCUCCCCCAAAAUUUGCUAGUGCAACAAAGAGACGUCGCGCCGUUAACAAUUUUAAACUGUAAAUGACAUGUCGUUUUCACAGAAUUCGUUUAACUGCCGGAGGAAAUUGAAAUUAUAAACUUUUAUAAAGGUUGGUAAGAAAAAAUAUACUUGCACAUAUUUUUUUUUCAAUGAUUUAUGGACGCUGUACUUGAUGCUGAAAUGUGAACCGGCUGGCACCGGGACAGUGAAAUUAAUGCUUUUUGUUUUUCUAAUAAUAUUAAUUAUCCUUUUCCUUUAAGGAAGACCCGCCACACUCACUUUUGACGCUCUAUCAGUUUCCAGCAUGUUGUCGUUUUGUAUUUUAGUGCAUUAAAGAAAUCCACAAUGAAUAUAAAAUAAUUUAAUCAACAGUAUUAGAAAAAGAAAAAAAGUAGGAUAAGAAAGUUAAGUAUGAUGGAUGGAGUUUCACAUUUCUGUUAAAUGACUUAGGAAAUGUUUAAAGCACCACAGGAAUCAACGUUUCACACGCUUUUUAGAUUUUUUUUCUAAAAGGAAAAAGAUAUUCUCACGAAAGAAAGUACAAAAUUUCACACAAAACGGUGCAUUUAAAUAAAGUAAAAUUGCAAAAAUACUCAAAAUAUAUAAGAUUGAUCAUUUACACCCUCCUUGUUUUUUUUGGGUGAACUAUUUCUGGAAAAUGGGCAGAGCCUAGUUUUGGUUCAAAAUUUGAAAUAACAAAUGGUAUAUUGGUGGAAAACCAACGACAUAUUUUCUAAUGCUUAACCUAAAUGGGAAUUAUAUCGGUUUGUACUGUCAAUAUAACAAACAACUAACUAAAUUAUUUAGAAGUCAUGAAUAAAAAUGGAUAGAACAAGAAGUAUAUUGCUAUUCGAUGCAAGAUGUUGGAUUAUUAAACCAUAAUAAAAUAAUAUAACUACACAUGUGCAAUGUUAUUCACUAAAAAGAUUUAAUUUAGAUAUUAAACAGUUAGUGCAACUGUAUCGAUCUCAUCCUCAUUAAUUUAGAGUUUGAGAACUCAUAAUAAAAGAAAAUAGAAAUUUAAACAUAGAUCCUAUCCUAUUAAGUAGAAUCAGAAAAGAAGUUUAUAGAAAUAAUUUUUCACGGAAGCAAUGAAAUAUUAAUCCGGUUGAUGGAUAUAUUGGUGAACACAUAAUAGAAUAUUAUAAUAGAUUUUUAUCUAUCAAGCAAAGGGAAGAAUAUAAUUGGAAUAACAAAAGAAUUAGAAGUAAAUAGUAAUAUGCUAAUAGGAUAUAAAGGAUUAUUAUUAAUUAUCGUAUUUGUGUAUAUAUAUAUAUAUUUUAAAUGAUUUAGGGACUCUGUACUUGAUGCUGAAAUGUGAACCGGCUGGCACCGGGACAGUGAAACGAGUACUUUUUUUAUUAUUACACGGCCUGUCGUUUUCAAAGAAAAAUUUUAUCAUGGUAUUCUUAUCCCCUAGCUGCCGUUUGUCGUUUGGAAUUUCUCUGUAUAAGAUUUUAAAGCAGCAAAAAUUUCGCCAUCUCGCGCCGGGGGGGUGGGGUGGGGGGAAGAUGAUGAUUCCGUGGAAUAUUAUCUUCGACUUAUCUGCUAUAAUCAGUGCUAACCGAUUUUGACACAUUUGCAGUAACGGAAGGGUUACAAUUACACGAGAUUGACACGAGGUAAUUAGCUAGUCAAGUCUCCGUGGGAAAAUUGUAAGCACUCAAGACUUAAAAAAGACUUUAUAAAGUAAGGCGUAUUAUGGAUGGUGUGGUUUGAUUCUCACUUGCAUCAAUUGUUCUUUUCAUUUUUCAUUGGAGGAAAGGAAAUUCAAGAGCCUGGUGUAUCUAGCAAAUUUUGUAACACGUUCUUGUAAGAUAAAAUAAAUAAAUAAAUAUAUCGGAUCCUAUUUCAUAGUUUAGUUAUAGGGUUAUUCGGAUGUCUGAAUUCAAAACAAGUUAAGUUUAAUCUCUAAAUAAUUUUGAGGAAAUCUUUCUACAAGGAGAGUUUGAAAUCAAUCACUACCCAUGUGUCAUUGGUCAGAUAAAUAGGUUAAGAACUCUAAUCCUAUCCCGACACAAAAAAAAAUCGUAUCGACUCGGACCUAGUCCAUUUUAAAUAACGGUUUAUUUAAAAUAAUUAUUUUUAUAAUAAUAAUUACUACUAUUAGUUGUCCUAUUAUUAUUAUUAACAAUAAUUAUUUUAAAUAAAAAUUGUAAUUAUUAUAAUAAAUGAUGACAAUAAUCAACUAAGAUUAUUUUGGUAUUGUAAUAAUCAAUUCCAAUUCCAAUAAAAAUUAGAUACAUUAGUGACAAUAUAAAUUAGGGUAGGGGUGGGCAAAUUCGGUUUGGAUCGGUUUGGGACAUAUCCUCAAACCGAUCCAAACUAAUCGGUUUGAAAUAUUUUCAAACCGAUAUCAACCUAAAAUUUUUUUAAACCGAACUGAUCCAAACCGAUUGGAUCGGUUUGGAUCCGGUUUGAACUUAUUAGCUAAAAUUUCACUUCUUUUAUAUUAUUUUACCUAAAUUAUUUGUUAUUUUUUUGUGUCCGCAAUCUAAAUUGAUACCUCUUUUAUAUUAUUCAUAUCUACUUUGAUAUCUACAUAACAAUUCAAAGAUACAUCCAUACAAGUUUACAGCAUAAUACAUCCUAAUAAACAAGUUCUUAACCUGUUCAUUCAAAACAAACUCACAAAAUUAAAAUAAACUUAAACCACACUUGACAAUUAAAAUAUUGUGCAUCUUGUCCGUCAAAAUUUAUAGUCCAAUUACUUUUGAUUUGUUAAAAUCUGCAUAAAAUGAUAAAUAUAAUUAUUUAGAUUGAUUAACUUAAAAUAUAAUGUAAUUAUAUAAUAUUUCUGGAUUGGAUCGGUUUGAAUCGGUUUGGAAUCCUUCCAAACCGAGUGAUGUCGGUUUGCAAUCCAAUAAACUGAAACCAGUUUUUUUACUAAUGAAACCGAUCCAAACCGAUCCAAAAGGUCGGUUUGGAUCGGUUCGGUUAAAAUAUGCCCACCCCUAAAUUAGGGGUUAUUUUUAGAAACCUCCCCUGAAGUUUAGUGUAUUGACAGUCGGAUAGAAAGUAUUCAUAUAAUUACAGGGACCUCCCCUGACGUUAGUAUUCCGCUAAGUGGACUGUCAGUUGACUAUUGAAAUUCCAAAAAUGCCCUUGCCGCAAAAAUAUAUUUUUAACAUAGAGGAGGUUGCGCUCUGAUCCUUUGUUCUGAAUUCAUUUUUUAUCCUUUGUUCUUAGUCACGGUAUAUAAGCCCCAUCCUUACCAAACAAAAUUUUAGAUCAAACAUGCUUAAAGAAAAUGGAUAAUGCAACAUCUAAAAUAAUUUUAAAACACAAAACAACAAAUACUCCACAUUUCAAAGUAAUAAAAAAAUAAAUAAUCGUAGUGCAAAUAGAUUAAACCUGAGCAGAUUUAUAGGCAUUAAGAGUAUUCUCAACGGCGACUUUCCUCUCAUCGCCAGUCUUAAACUCAGCCAAGUUAAGCAAACUCAUGUCGAAACCAAAAUUAGAAUUUAGAAAGGAAAAAAACAGAAUUGAGAAUCAAUUUAUUUUUUGGGAGCACGUGAGUGAUGAGUUUUGGAAUCUAAAAUGAUAUCAAGUUAUGAAGUAUUUUUGGUGUAAACGCAACAGCCAUGAGAGGAGAGUGACGAGAAACUUCCAAAAAGAGGUGAAAAAAAAAACAGAAGAGAAAAAGGCCAAAAGGAAAAAGACUCAAAAAAACAAAAACAGAGAGGAGACGCAAGGGCAAUCAAGCAAGCAGACAAACAAUUUAAAACCUGAGCAGAUAAUCACCCUUCAUCUUCAAAUAAAACACCUUGGAAUCGGCAGCGGCAGCGGUGGGAACCAAUUUCUGGUCCAAUAAUUUCAAGAUCCCGCCACAGGAUCUCCAUCAACUCGGCUUCGAUCUUCGAUCUGUACUCCUUAAUCACGGAGACAUGGUCUUGGUUGCCGUGCGACUCGUCCUUCUGCUCGAUGGAGGACACGAUGCACCAAGAGGCGCGCCGUGCGCCGAUGACGUUCUUGUAGGCGACGGAGAGGAGGUUCCUCGCUGGUCGAGGCAGAGACGACGACUUUUUCCAUGUAUUGGACCAUCUCCUCGUACCACUCGGCUUGCUCCGCAAGUUUUUCCAUGUAUACGUUUUCUUCCCGUGGAGAAGGGGCUGCCAUUGUUCCGUUCAGUUAUCUUUGUGUUUGUUUGAAUUUUGUUUUUGUUUAAAUUUUAAAUUUAUUUUUACGUAUUUACCCUUUAUAAUAACGUUAUACGUAUUUUUGUAUUAACGUUAGGGGAGGUCUUUGUAAUUACAUGAAUAUUUUCUAUCCGACUGUUAAUACACUAAACCUCAGGGGAGGUCCCUAAAAAUAACCCUAUAAAUUAUUACAGCUAAAAUAAAUAAUUUAUAAUAAUUCUAAUUCUUUAUUUCAAUUCUAUUUUGAUUCUAUCUUAUUCCGAUUACUGAUUGGUAAGCAUACCACUAAACGAAAUGAAACUGUCCAUACACAAUAAAAUCUCUUUAAUUGAUCAUCUAGCCCAGCUAAAAUCAACGGUCCCGAAAGAAACAAUUUCGGAACUACUCAAGCCUGCAAAUCUUGCACUGUCGUAGUAAGUUACAGGAAUUUGAUUGGACGAUGUAAUAAAGAUGAAGGAUAAGAUCGCCAUUCGCCAAUCAAUUUUCUGUCCGCAUCAAGCAAAUAGGCCAUCUGUGAGGCGCAAAAUGAGUUAAAAAGAUGGAUAAUUUUGGAAUCCAUUAAUCCACAAUGAACAUAAAACAAUUUAAUCAACAGUAUUAGGAAAGAAAAGAAAAGUAGGAGAAGAAAGUUAAGUAUGAUGGAUGGAGGUUCAGAUUACUGUUAAAUGACUUAGGAAAGGCUUAAAGCACCACAGGAAUCAACGUUUCACAAAGCUUUUUUCCCUUUCUGAAAUAUUCGGUGCAGUCUCCCCCAGAUUUUGCCAGUGCAACCAAGAGACGUCAUGCCGUUAUCAAUUAUAAACUGUAAAUGACAUGUUGUUUUUACAAGACAUAUUAUGCGUCGAUACAUACCUAUGAAUGGGUUCAAGAAAUUCAGCAGGUUGCGAAACAAUAAGAUUCAUUCAAUCCGCGUAGAUAUCUGACUGACUGAAAUUAAAUAAACGAUGAUGAUAAGAAAUUUGAAAUCAACAAAUCUCGGCACAUCUAUUCUGCAGUUUGGCCGUACUUCAAAUAACCUUGCGAUAAAAAUUUCAUAAAAAAUCUCAGAAAGAGGACAGAACAACCAAGGCAUCAGCGAAAGCAAUCGAGGCAGGGCACGCUCAAGCCACGAAUUAGAGGAAUUUUAAAUAUCAAAACCUGCUCAGAAUAAUAAGAAAUAAAAUGAAACUACAAAAGGCUCAGAUUUUUGGAUGAGUGAAGGGAAGAUGAGAAGAUGAAAUGCAGAAAGUCAAGAAAUGAAUAAACCAAUAUUAAUAAUCUUGGACCCACAGCUCUAAUUUGGAUUAAGCAUCCAUCUACCUAUGUGGAUAAUAUUUUUGCUAACUUUUCAGCCAUGCAGCAGGAUCAUGUUCGUCCUGUUUUAUUUGAUAGAAGGAAUUUUCCCCUGGAAGAAAAUGAUGAGUCGUUUCAACGUCAUGCAACUGCCUAGACUGCAUGGAAUUUCACCAGACAAUGACAAUUUAUUCUCAGAUAUAUCUAACGCCCCCACAUUUGCCAAAUUUGAAGGCGUCCGUUUUGAGACUGAUAAAAACGUUUUCCAAAAAUUCGGGAUUCAGGUCGAUCAGACCGGUUAUGUUUUGCAAAACUUGUAAAUUUUCAGUGAUCAAAAUUCAAAACUUUGCAAAUAGGUCAAAAUAUGAAAAAUACUUGAUAUAUUAUUGAAUACUCAUUUUGUUUUGCAUUAAUAUACGGCUGUGGGUGCUAUCUAGUUCUAUUAGUAAAAUUCCUUGGGUUGAAAACAAGAAAACUAGCAUUUGAAACUCACCCAUAUGGAUGGGAAAGAAAUUUAGUUACCAUUGGAUUAAAAAAUAAUAAUAACAAUUAGAAAAAAAUUGUAAGGCUUCGACAAGAUUUGCUAAUCAUGUAUAGAUUAAUAUGAAGAUUAAGAACAUCACCUAAGCCAAUUAUUGAAAUUGAAAUUUUAGGAGAAAAAUUUAUGUGGGUUUGGCCACCAAUUUAGCAUUAGGAACUUAUUGUUUAGGAAGCUAUGGUGGGUUUCGUAGUGGGACUUAUCCUCUUUAAUGCAUAUGGUGAUUUUAAACCAACAUUUAUAUAAUCCCAUUAUAAAACUCAUCAAACCUUCUAAAAUAACUCGUUGAGAUAGUGUGCUAGAUCCAUAUAAAUAUUUCUCCAACUUCUUAGCUUGAAGCGAUAUUCAUUUCCAUUGAUAGUUUAAUGGGCAAAGCCUUUUGAAUUCUCCAGGUUAUCAAGUUAUUUUUUGCUGGAAAAUGCAAUCCGGAUAUGAAUAGAUUUUUUUGUGCAAUCAAAUUUUCUAUGUUGACGCAUCCUCUAGAACUUUCAGUAAAUUUUAUGGAGAAGCUUUAAUUUCUUAGUUGUUGAUUUCGAAUAAAAAAUUAAACUUAACUUUAAAAUUACAGUUGUAAUUAUAAAAUAUUUACUGAAUACAUUAGUGUUAAUACUACAAAUUGUUCCAUUAAAAGUCUCUCAAAAAGGAAGAAGUGACUUAAAAAAUUAAAAGAAUGCAGGAGCUGAAGUUGGCAAUUUUGUAAAUUGCAAUGGCAAUUGUGGGCUAGUAAAAUCCCUCAAUGAGUCACAGCACUAGCAAUUUCGUAAUAUACAUUAGUGGCAAUUUUGUAAAAUUGAAGUUGUGAUAGUUUUGCAAAUAAAAGUAAAAGCUUUUUGCCUAAAUUCGGCUGAGCUAAAAGCCAGCUUAGCCCACACUCUCCUUCGCCACCGGUUGACGAGCUCUUCCUUCAAUUUUUGAACUUGAAGUGAUGCCCCAUCGAUGUCCAGAAUUUUUAAAGUCAGAAUGAUGAUCCUAAUGAUUCUUUUUAGAUAGUCACCUGUACGUUGACGUGUUUAAUUGAUGUUUAUUUAAGCAGAAAUUGAAGUUUGAUCCCUGAUUAAUUAGAUGAGAACACACAUUCAUGAGUAAAUACUUAAAAUUAAAUUAAUCAAAAUAGUAUAAAUACAGGAGAAAAUCGAUCAUAUGCGUGCAGACAUCACAAUCGAAUUAUAUAUAUCACCGCCGCACAUAAAUUUGAUUCCCAUGAUAUGUGAUUAAUUAAUUAAUUUUUUUAAUAACAAUUAAAUUGUAAUGUCAAUUGUCCACAUAAGUUUUUUGUUUUUGUUGAUGAAAGUUAGUAAUUUUUUUCCAUCUUUUUAAAUAAAAGUUGUUAAUAAAUAUCAAGAAAAUAUUGGGACUUGAGAUCAGGGUCUACUUAAGUUAGAAUUUUUUAUUAGAAAAGCUAUAGCCAGCGAUGAAAAAUAAAGAAGUAACACAAGAUAAAGAGUAAAAUGAGAGAGCAUAUAUUAUAAAAAGAUUUUACCCAUUUCAAGUGUGCACCAAACAAAGAGACGAACUCUCAUUUUAUAGUUACAUAAUUAUUACAUGAAAUUAAUAAAAAUAUUAAGAAUUAUAAUUCCUUGCGAGAUAGUGGGAGUUAUAGAAAAGUCAAGAGUUGUUAGUGGAAGAUAGCAAGAAGAGUAAAAAAUAUAUGUUAUGAACAUUCACAUUUAUUUUAAUAAAUUUACAGUAUUUUUUUCGUUAAAUAAUAGGGUGUGGAGAACAAUUGGAAGGACUUUACGUGUGUUUAUAUAUUGACAUAAAAAUUGCAGGACGUGUAGUUUAGCGUUUCUUGGUUGUUCAGUGCUAGUUUUCUAAAUCUCGAGCGUGCGGGUUAUUUUUCGUUACCUUUAUCACCGAAAGGCUGUUUUAACCAACUAAGAACUAAAAGCUAAAACCCAAAACCCCCCUCUUGUUCUUUUCCAGGGACUUUACCUUGUCCUUGAUGGCCGAAAAGCAACUGGAAAUCCUCCGCGGGUACGAGCUGCGGCUCUUGCGCUGCACCCUCGCUCCCCCACCGUCCGAUCUUCGCAUUCAAUCGCAACCGUUGAACGAAGAAAGCCAAUGCUCUAUCCUUCCACUCCACGAGCACAUCAACAGCCUCAUCAACUCCAUCGAGUCCGGCCACUAUCUCCAGGCUCUGUCCUCCGACGAGGCUAAACACGCUCUCGACACGCUCGAUUUCGUCGACAUCAACGACUCAGCCGAGUGUGCCGACCGCGUCUACUCCGAGCUGCUCCAGCUUGUCGAAGCGUCUAUAGUGAACGAUUCCGAAAUUGACGUGGAUAAGGCUUGUCGAGUUAUUCUGCUCAUGUGUCUUUCAAUUGCUGCCCUUUUUUGGUUCACUCAGUGUAACGUGACUGGGUGAGUUUCUUAUUUAUAAAUUUUUAAAUAAUUGCAAUUAAUUAAUAAUAAAUAUUAGUAAAAAAUUAAUCAAAAAAAAGGUUUAGUGAUGAACCU
rnacentral:lncRNA from 1 species